CAGCAGCCGCGGUAAUAAAGAGGGUGCGAGCGUUAAUCGGAUUUACUGGGCGUAAAGCGUGCGUAGGCGGCUUCUUAAGUCGGAUGUGAAAUCCCUGAGCUUAACUUAGGAAUUGCAUUCGAUACUGGGAAGCUAGAGUAUGGGAGAGGAUGGUAGAAUUCCAGGUGUAGCGGUGAAAUGCGUAGAGAUCUGGAGGAAUACCGAUGGCGAAGGCAGCCAUCUGGCCUAAUACUGACGCUGAGGUACGAAAGCAUGGGGAGCAAACAGGAUUAGAUACCCGCGUAGUCCCUGUCUCUUAUAA
rnacentral:rRNA from 1 species